UGGUGUUAAUGGUGCCGGUGAACCACCCGUUCCCAUCCCGAACACGGAAGUGAAAUCCGGUAACGCCGAAGAUACUUGGUUGGCGACGAUCCGGGAAAAUAGGUAGAUGCCA
rnacentral:rRNA from 1 species